UACUUACCGGCUCCAGGUUUGUGGGGCCGCGCUACUCCUCGCUGCUAACCUUAGCGGCUCGAUGCUAGCCGCCCCACCGUGGGCGUCUGCGGGAGCUUGUGCUUGUUUUGUGAUCCGUGCUACGGAAGAAUGGGUGCAGUCAGGCGUACACUUCAAGACUAGAACCGCACCAGAACAUGAAUGCCGAACACUAAGAGAGCUUGGCCCGUCCGACUCUAGCGAGUCUGUUUACGGAGAAAAGUUAACGAGACGCGGCCGGAUGGUUCUCGCGAUCGUACGCCUCCUGGCGUGGAUGGGACCCGGAAAGGUGCGCUUAUCUGCUCAGAAAACCUUCACAAACAGGUAUUUUUUUUAAAAAAAAAAGUUUAAUGUGCUACAAAGAUGGCGGCCCCGCGACACCGGAGGUGGAAGCCGGAGAGUGUUAACCUGCCAGGGGGCGGGCUCUGUGCCGGCGGAGGCGAAGAGAUCUGAGGUCAGUUUGAAGAACAGAGUGUGCAUCACAGGGCUGUGAUGCAGUGACCGAGGCUGACCACAGAUCAGCCAACAGGAGAGGCUGAUUCCCGCCUGCGCAGCAAAGAAGAGUACGACAUGUUGGGAGUAGUAGAAGAAGAGUCGUGCGUUUUGUUUUCUGGAAUUUCACAUUUAAAUAUGUAUAAAUUAAGUUCUUAAAUUAUUCAUAAAUCUCCAAUAAAAAAAGAAAAGUGA